UGGUCAAGUUAUUAAGGGUGCAGGGCGGAUGCCUUGGCACUAGGAGCCGAUGAAGGACGUGAUAAGCUGCGAUAAGCUUCGGGGAGUUGCACGUAAACUUUGAUCCGAAGAUUUCCGAAUGAGGAAACUCACUUAGAGUAAUGUCUAAGUAUCAUUAAGUGAAUACAUAGCUUAAUGAGGGGAACUCAGGGAACUGAAACAUCUAAGUACCUGAAGGAAGAGAAAGAAAUUCGAUUCCGUAAGUAGCGGCGAGCGAACGCGGAUUAGCCCAAACCAAUAAAGUUUUCUUUAUUGGGGUUGCGGACAUAUCAUAACGAAGAGGUAUCGUAAUUGAAGAGGUUUGGAAAGACCCACCACAGAAGGUAAUAGUCCUGUAUGUUAAACGAGAAGACUUCAGAUAUGAUCCAGAGUACCACGGGACACGUGAAACCCUGUGGGAAGCAGGAGGGACCACCCUCCAAGGCUAAAUACUACCUAGUGACCGAUAGCGUAUAGUACCGUGAGGGAAAGGUGAAAAGAACCCCGGGAGGGGAGUGAAAUAGAACCUGAAACCCUGCACUUACAAGCUGUGGAAGCACAUUUCUUGUGUGACCGCGUACUUUUUGUAGAACGGGCCAACGAGUUACGUUAAGUAGCAAGGUUAAGCACUUAAGGUGCGGAGCCGUAGCGAAAGCGAGUUUUAACUGAGCGUUCAGUUACUUGACGUAGACCCGAAACCGGGCGACCUACCCAUGAGCAGGAUGAAGCGAAAGUAAAAUUUCGUGGAGGUCCGAACCCACGAGCGUUGAAAAGCUCGGGGAUGACUUGUGGGUAGCGGUGAAAUUCCAAUCGAGCCCGGAGAUAGCUGGUUCUCCCCGAAAUAGCUUUAGGGCUAGCCUCAAGGUGAGAGAUACGGAGGUAGAGCACUGAAUGUCCUAGGGGGUAUUGCACCUACCGAAGACUAUCAAACUCCGAAUGCCGUCAUCUUAUACUUGGGAGUCAGACUGUGGGUGAUAAGAUUCAUAGUCGAAAGGGCAACAGCCCAGAUCGUCAGCUAAGGUCCCUAAAUGUAAGUUAAGUGGUAAAGGAUGUGGGAUUGCACAGACAACCAGGAUGUUGGCUUAGAAGCAGCCACUCAUUCAAAGAGUGCGUAAUAGCUCACUGGUCGAGUGAUCCUGCGCCGAAGAUUUCCGGGGCUAAAACUUACUACCGAAGCUACGGCAUCAGUAAUGAUGGGUAGGGGAGCUUCCCAUACGGGUUGAAGCAUGACCGUAAGGACAUGUGGACAGUAUGGGAGUGAGAAUGUUGGCAUGAGUAGCGAGAUGUGGGUGAGAAUCCCACAGGCCGUAAACCCAAGGUUUCCAGGGGAAGGUUCGUCCGCCCUGGGUUAGUCGGGACCUAAGCUGAGGCCGAAAGGCGUAGGUGAUGGACAACAGGUUGAUAUUCCUGUACUACCGAUAACCGUUUGAGAGAAGGGAUGACACAGUAGGAUAAGCUAAGCACACUGUUGGUUAUGUGUGCCCAAGCAUUGAGGCAGUCAAAGUAGGCAAAUCCGCUUUGAUAAUGCUGGGAUGUGAUGGGGAGCGAAAUUUAGUAGCGAAGUAGCUGAUUUCACACUGUCAAGAAAAGUCUCUAUCGAGGUUAAAGGUACCCGUACCGCAAACCGACACAGGUGGGUGAGGAGAGUAUCCUAAGGCCAGCGAGAGAACUGUUGUUAAGGAACUCGGCAAAAUGACCCCGUAACUUAGGGAUAAGGGGUGCCACCAUCAGGUGGCCGCAGAGAAUAGGCCCAAGCGACUGUUUACCAAAAACAUAGGUUUCUGCUAAGUCGCAAGACGAUGUAUAGGAGCUGACGCCUGCCCGGUGCUGGAAGGUUAAGGGGAUCUGUUAGAGCAAUCGAAGCAGUGAACUUAAGCCCCAGUAAACGGCGGCCGUAACUAUAACGGUCCUAAGGUAGCGAAAUUCCUUGUCGGGUAAGUUCCGACCCGCACGAAAGGCGUAACGAUUUGGGCACUGUCUCAACAACAGACUCGGUGAAAUUGUAAUUCCGGUGAAGAUGCCGGAUACCUGCGACAGGACGGAAAGACCCCAUGGAGCUU
rnacentral:rRNA from 1 species